UCCAGAAGAAACCAAGGCAGAUAUUAUUUGAUGGACCUUAUGUUGCCCAUCACAGAAAUGGGAGGGCCGACUACAGAUGUAGGAAACAAAAAGAAGUAUUGAGGCUACCAUUAGUUGCUCUUUCAAAGAAAUUUGAUGAAUGUGAAGGGGUACUUUCAUCAUGCUAGUUGCUUGCAUCGGUUGCUUGUGUCAUCCUCUAACUCUUAGUUAUCUUCAUUAGAGCCACUUUACAUCCCUAGAUGACCUUAAUUAAGACUCUUGAUUCCAAGAACUGAUUCUAUGCAAAGGCAAUAAUAGCCUAGGGCAGGACCAAGUGAAAAUGAAAAGGAGGCCAUACUGAAGUUCGAAUUUUGAACCCCUCGCCAAGAAAUGAGAGGUUUUUUUUUCCCUAAAUGAUCUCAUAUAUGUUUGCUUCACUGUAAAGGUAGUAAUACGCUAAGAAUGUAAUAACUACUGCAUAACAGAAAUACAUACAUUAGUUGGUUGGUUGAAUUAGAAUUACUUUAUAAU
rnacentral:lncRNA from 1 species